rnacentral:rRNA from 1 species
UACAGAGGUCCCGAGCGUUGUUCGGAUUCACUGGGCGUAAAGGGUGCGUAGGUGGCUGGGAAAGUUUGAUGUGAAAGCUCAGGGCUUAACCCUGAAAUGGCAUUGAAUACUGCCUGGCUGGAGGUUUGGAGGGGGGGACUGGAAUUCUUGGUGUAGCAGUGAAAUGCGUAGAUAUCAAGAGGAACACCAGUGGCGAAGGCGAGUCCCUGGACAACACCUGACACUGAGGCACGAAAGCCGGGGGAGCAAACAGG